rnacentral:rRNA from 1 species
AUUGAACGCUGGCGGCAGGCUUAACACAUGCAAGUCGAGCGGGGGAAGGUAGCUUGCUACCGGACCUAGCGGCGGACGGGUGAGUAAUGCUUAGGAAUCUGCCUAUUAGUGGGGGACAACAUCUCGAAAGGGAUGCUAAUACCGCAUACGUCCUACGGGAGAAAGCAGGGGAUCUUCGGACCUUGCGCUAAUAGAUGAGCCUAAGUCGGAUUAGCUAGUUGGUGGGGUAAAGGCCUACCAAGGCGACGAUCUGUAGCGGGUCUGAGAGGAUGAUCCGCCACACUGGGACUGAGACACGGCCCAGACUCCUACGGGAGGCAGCAGUGGGGAAUAUUGGACAAUGGGGGGAACCCUGAUCCAGCCAUGCCGCGUGUGUGAAGAAGGCCUUAUGGUUGUAAAGCACUUUAAGCGAGGAGGAGGCUACUUUAGUUAAUACCUAGAGAUAGUGGACGUUACUCGCAGAAUAAGCACCGGCUAACUCUGUGCCAGCAGCCGCGGUAAUACAGAGGGUGCGAGCGUUAAUCGGAUUUACUGGGCGUAAAGCGUGCGUAGGCGGCUUAUUAAGUCGGAUGUGAAAUCCCCGAGCUUAACUUGGGAAUUGCAUUCGAUACUGGUGAGCUAGAGUAUGGGAGAGGAUGGUAGAAUUCCAGGUGUAGCGGUGAAAUGCGUAGAGAUCUGGAGGAAUACCGAUGGCGAAAGCAGCCAUCUGGCCUAAUACUGACGCUGAGGUACGAAAGCAUGGGGAGCA